ACAGACUGAGUGGCUUAUCCCACCAUUCUAGCAAGAUGAAAGUCCAGAAGAAAGCUAUAGGUAUGUCUAGUGUUUUGCAGCAUCUCUCCUGGGUUUGCCAGUGGUUGUCCUAUCACCAAUGGUCUGAUGGCCUUUUCUGUAUACACACACAUUCCAUUCUUCCCACUGUAGGUUCACCAGUACUAUUAAGUUCAGGCCCAUGCUUAAAGAAGAACUGAAAAUGGAAACCAAAAAAAAAAAAAAACCCAAAAUCCUAAUGAAUAAUGUGCAACAUCCCCAUCAUUCAGUCACUGGUGGCUGGGAUGUUUACUACCAACACCAGAGAAACAUUUAUAAAUCUAUGCAUAUUAGGAUAAUCUAUACUCAAAUUAAGAUUUAUUCUCAGUAAUUAUAUGAUAUUUAUUUUUUGGAACUUCCCAGAGAGAUUAACGAGUCCUAACUGUGCAUUUUACUCUCUAAUUCUCUAGUUUUAGAAUCAUUGAUCUCUCUCUCUCUCUCUCUCUCUCUCUCUCUCUCUCCCUCUCUCAUGUUUUGGUGUUUCAAAAGGCUUUAUUUUUACUUGGUCCAAGACUUAGGAAAGGCUCACAGCUGGGACAGAAAGCCAUCAAAGCAAAUUCUUAGAAAUUGUGAUAAGGAUGCUACAACUGAUGACUUUUGACAAGAGUGAAGAUGAGGGAAAAUUCAGUUUUAUCUAAGGGCCUGGCCACUGGGAUUUGAACAACGCACUGUUUGUUUAGUUUUUAGCAAUGCUUGGAAUUCAAGGAAUUUUCUUACCCAUAUGACUUGCUGUUUUAGAGAUAAAAAAAAUACAGAUUUGUUUUUCCAUUUUUAGAAGUCAUGCUAGUUUUGCACCAUGGUUUAUCAGAAAUAUAACAUGGAGGUAAGAUCAAA
rnacentral:lncRNA from 1 species